rnacentral:rRNA from 1 species
UGGGGAAUAUUGCACAAUGGGGGAAACCCUGAUGCAGCGACGCCGCGUGAGCGAUGAAGGCUUUCGAGUCGUAAAGCUCUGUCCUAUGGGAAGAUAAUGACGGUACCAUAGAAGAAAGCCCCGGCUAAUUACGUGCCAGCAGCCGCGGUAAUACGUAAGGGGCGAGCGUUGUCCGGAAUUAUUGGGCGUAAAGAGUGCGUAGGCGGCAAAUUAAGUCAGAUGUGAAAACUAAGGGCUCAACCCAUAGAUUGCAUCUGAAACUGAUAUGCUUGAGUCAAGGAGAGGAAAGUGGAAUUCCUAGUGUAGCGGUGGAAUGCGUAGAUAUUAGGAGGAAUACCAGUAGCGAAGGCGGCUUUCUGGACUGCAACUGACACUGAGGCACGAAAGCGUGGGUAGCAAACAGG